CAAUGUUUCAAGUUUUUAUCUUCAAGAGGAAAAAUCAGGAGUUCUUGAGAUGGUUUGGUUAUACAAGCCACAGCGGCAAUACUAAAUUAUCUAAAAUAAUUUUUUGUCUGAACAAAACUUGCACAAGGCUAUUGUUAUGUAAUAUCUGAGAAUAUGCUAUCAACUUGAAAAGUGUUUCUGAAACUAGAUUUGAUACUUUUGCACAAGGAUAUCUUCCACUAACAUGCACAGUGUAUACAAUGAUAAAUUCAUUUUUGGCUUUGAAUAAUGAUAAUUUCUAG
rnacentral:misc_RNA from 1 species